CUCAAACAAAAGUUGGUCAUCUCAUCAGAUGCAAGGCUUCCAUUGAAAGCAGAGGCUGUGUGGUUCCCUUUGUGAGAUCAUCUGAGAUAAAUCUUGCGAUGCGACAUGUCAUUGCCUUGUGACUUUCGGCACUCCACUUCACUGGAAGCUUCUUGUGAUGGGCGACAUUGCCGCUCAGUAUUGAGGGGCCCCAGACCCCCCCCCCGAAGAAAUUGGGCGGAGAAGCCAAAGUCCCUUGCCCACCCAUCCCCAGUUGGCACACCAGACAGCAGGCAAUUCUUAUAAGUGGAACGACUGAUUUUGAAGAAAAGGCCAGCCAAAAUUCUAACACUUAUUCAUCCCAGUAAUACUUUAUUUAAAAAAUUGGUUGGAUGGGGUGGUUUGCAAUAUAUAUAUAUAUAUAUAUAUAUAUAUAUAUAUAUAUUCAAAUCAGGUGAAUUAUAAGAACUGUCUUUAAAUAUGAGGUCGCCUUGAUAUUUGUAAUACAGUCGUAACUUGGAAAUUGAACAGAGCCGUCUUUCCCAUAGGGCUUAGUGGUGCGUUGCGCUAGGACGCCGGCCUCUCAGGGGUGCCCCAGCAAGUGGGGGAGCUGCACGGCUUUGCCGGCAGCCUCCCCUUUCCCUGCAGACCCACCAGCUGCACCCCUCCAUCCAUAAGGCUGGCAGGUGUGCAGCUUCCCUCCAAGCCUCCUCGAGAGGCGAGCGAUCCCUGCAGAGGCUUAGGAUGGAAGCUGCGCCCCACCAACCAUAUGGCUGGUGGAUACGUAGCUUCUCUCCCAAGCCUCUGCGGGGAUUGCUCCCCAUGGCUGGCAGUGCGCAGCUACGGCCACCCCAACACUGUCAAUGGUAAUUUGGGGGCGCUGGAUGGAUUGCACCCCGACACCGCAUCUGCUAAAGACGGCCCUGAAGUUGAAUGUAAUCCUUUCCAGAAGUCCGUUAGACUUCCAAAACAGUGCGGCUUCUGAUUGGUUGCAGGAAGCUCCUGCAGCCAAUUGGAAGUCGUGCCAGACGUUCAGGUUCCAAAGAACCUUCGCAAACCAGAAAACUCACUUCUGAAUUUGCGGCGUUCAGGAGCCAAAACAUUUGAGAACUAAGAUAUUCAAAAACCAAGGUACGACUGUACAAUGAAUGGAGAUAGAUAUCUCCUGGGUGCUUCCUUCGACACGCACAACCUAAACGCUUCCACCCCGGAAUUCCAUGUCUCCUACGUUCCACUACAAAAGCACACUUUCUGCCAUUGCAGAUUGCAAGCCUCCUUUUGUCUCCUGGCCAGCCUUGGCUCAGCGUUGGGGCUUUCCAAGACACGAGUUCUUCCGCACACGCUUUCCGCAGGCUUUGAGUUACGACCUACAGCUCCGGUGCCGUAAAUAUCCACUCAAUAUGUGCGCUGGCCCACGAUUGGCCGCCGCUGGAAAAUGAGCAAGGCAUGUUGAUGAGGGACGGGAAAUGACGGCUCCAGAGAGAACAAUAAAAACCAGGCAGGAGAUGCUACGACGGCAUGCAAGAGAGCUGAGGGAAGGGAGUUGUUGGAGGGGGGUCUGCCUUUAUAUAUAUAUUUAUAUAUAUAUUUAUUUAUAUAUUUAUUUCUUUUUACUAGCAGCCUUUCUGCCUAAUUACUGCCUGCCGUAAAAUAAUCUGGUUUAUUGCUCCCAUCCAAGGCAGGAAGAAUUUUCCCUGAGAGCGCUGCAUGCAGUGUGCCGCUGCGCUAGAGAGGAAAUACUUUUGCCGAGUGCUCUGUAUAUAUAGAUUGCCUAAAAACGUUAGUCGAUUUGCAUUAAAAAUGGCGUUUGCUCCUUAAGUGGUCCCUGCCUUUAGUUAGGUUGUUUCCCCCUUUGCUUCCUGGUGAGCAAAGAUGGCUUCCGCUAUUUGCCCGCAGGGCAUUGUGUCCGGAACAGCCGUUGCCAACCUGGGGCCCACCUGAUGUUUUGAACUACAACUCCCGUCAGAGCUGUCUGUUUUCAUUAAUCCAUCAAAAUGGGUUGGUAAAGAGGUAAGGUAAAGGAUCCCUGGAUGGUUAAGUCCAGUCAAAUAAUAAUCAUAGUAUAAUAAUAAUUUAUUAUUUAUACCCCACCCAUCUGGCUGAGUUUCCCCAGCCACUCUGGGCGGCUCCCAAUCAAGUGUUAAAAACUGUACAGCAUUAAAUAUUAAAAACUUCCCUGAACAGGACUGCCUUCAGAUGUCUUUUAAAGAUAGGAUAGCUGCUUAUUUCCUUCACAUCUGAAGGGAGGGUGUUCCACAGGGUGGGCGCCACUACCGAGAAGGCCCUCUGUCUGGUUCCCUGUAACCUCACUUCUCGCAACGAGUAAACCACCAGAAGGCCCUUGGCGCUGGAUCUCAGUGUCCGGGCUGAACGAUACCUUCAGGUAUACAGGAUAUGGGAUAUGAUCUCUGCUUUCAGGCUGAGGGAGCCGACGUUUGUCUGCAGACAUCUUUUCCAGUUCAUGUGGCCAGCAUGACUAAACUGCUUCUGGCUCACGGAGGACUAUGACGAGUGCCAGAGUCCCCGGAAACACCGUUUACCUUCCCACCGUAGCAGUACCUAUUUAUUUACUCAUGCUUUCGAACUUCUAGGUUGGCAGGAGCUGGGACAGAGCAACGGGAACUCACCCCGUCGCGCGGAUUCAAACUGCUGACCUUACAAUCGGCAAGCCCAAGAGGCUUGGUGGUUUAGACCAUGGCGCCACCUGCGUCCCUUAUCACAAUGGUAUGUCUAUGGGGACAGGGAGGUGAUCUGAUCUGCUAGCUACUGAGGCAAGCAGCCACCUUGCCCUGAUUAGUGUCCACUGGUGAGCCGCCAUUUUCAAUUUCCCACAGUGCCUCCAGUUUAGCAUCACUCUGGGGUCAUUGCAGGGGAAUUGAAACAGUGCUUGUUUGUUUGUUAUUUGCCUGGUGCUAAUCAGUGGGCCCAGAGCAGGUGUCAGUACUGGGCCUGCUGGGUCUCUGGGUACCGCCUGAAGAUGCCUCGUGCUGAUGUCAAGCCUAUGCCUGCAGCACGAAAAGUGACAGAUUCUUUGGGGAAUAAUGCUUUGCAACGGGUACAGCUGAAUGCAUCAACCGGUCGUCAGUUUUCCUCCUAAUCACAUUCUUUCAGACAACAUUUCAAAAAGAGCCUCUGUUCCCAGUUGGAUAACCUGGACGUGUGGCCUGCAAGCAGGUCUCGGGGUUCUUUUUCUCCCUCUGUUUGUGUGUGUGUGUUUCCUCCCCCCACCCCACCCGCAAAUAUGCAAAUUUGUUCUUGGAAAAUCGUCAACUAAUUUGACUCCGUUCGGGCUGACACGGUCCUGCUUGCCAACAGUUACAUUUGCAUACUAAUUCGCCUCCCCUCCAUUCAUUGAGAAAUGGAUGCAAAUGAUUUAUCAUUCGCCUGAUACCUUGCCUGAAUGUAGAAGGGGAAAUUGCUGCAGUGUCUCAGGCAGCGUGAAGAAAGCCUCUCAAAAUGGGCUUGCCUCUAAUCUAAUCGCAUCAGCUAUAAAGCACCUGGUUCUUUAUAGCCCCCCCUUGCCCCCCCGAUCCAGCUCCCAAGUUCUCUAUAGGGUUACUACAAUUCCCUUCAUAUCAACUAGUUGUGUGUUCUAGAUGGAGAACAGUAGUAUAUACACUGUACAUUUCAAGCCUUUAGGAGGGCCAGCUGCAAUUGGCUCUGAUCAUCGCUGCUGUUAAAAAAAAAACACCUGCCCCAUAAUUUGACUUUGCAAAGGCCUAGUGUAAAAGGUAAAAGGUGAAGGACCCCUGGGCAGUUAAGUCCAGUCAAAGGCAACUAUGGGGUUGCGGCGUUCAUCUCGCUUUCAGGCCAAGGGAGCCGGCAUUUGUCCACAGACAGCUUUCUGGGUUGUGUGGCCAGUGUGACUAAACCGCUUCUGGUACAAUGAAACACCGUGGCAGAAGCCAGAGCACAUGGAAAUGCCAUUUACCGUGUGGUGCUGUGGUCUAAACCUUUUGGGCUUGCUGAUCGGAAGGUUGGCGGUUUGAAUCCCCGUGAUGGGGUGAGCUCCCGUUGCUCUAUCACAGCUCCUGCCAACCUAGCAGUUCAAAGCACACCAGUGCAAGUAGAUAAAUAGGUAUCGCUGUGCCGGGAAGAUAAACGGCGUUUCUGUGCACUCUGGUUUCCAUCACAGUGUCCUGUUGUGCCAGAAGCGGUUUAGUUCUGCUGGCCACAUGACCCGGAAAGCUGUCUGUGGACCAACGCCAGCUCCUUCAGCCUGAUGGCAGAGAUGAGAGCCUUUGAGUGGACUUAAAGGGUUGUAAAGACUGUGGAGAGAAUAACUGGGUGCACUCUUCCCACCUUGGAUCAAAUCUAUGCUUCCAGGUGCCAUAAGAAAGCUGCAGAGAUAGCGCAGGAUAGUGCGCACCCCAGAAAUGAUCUCUUUCAGCUUCUGCCUUCUGGAAGAAGGUACAGGGUUACAAACCGCCUGAGAAACAGUUUCUACCCAAAUGUGAUUUUGGUUUUAAACGCAGUGUAAGGAGUCUCUAUGGGAGUAUACUGUAUUUAAAAAUGGGGUAUCAAAGUUUUUAGAGGGCUAACCAGGUUGGGAUAGCUGGGAUAGCAGGCUUGUUGGGUUUGGAAUGUUUUAUGUAGAUUUUUCAAUUUCAUUGUUCUGUAUGGGACAAUGACAAUAAAGAUUAUUGAUUAUCGAUUAUCGAUUAACCAUCCAGGGGUCCUCCAUUUCUCAUCCCACUCCCCCUGCCUUUAAGAUCAGCACUCCACAUUUCCAUUUCAGUUUGAUAGAUAUAUAUCAUACACACACACACACACACACACACACACGUCCUCACAAAAAUUCAUCAGCAUUUUAGUAUGAAUUUACCCUAAUAAACACAAAUUGCAAAGCAAUUGUAUAUUCCUGCAUGGCAGGAGGUUAGACUAGGUGGCCCUUGGAGACCCAAACCAAUGUUGUCAAGUUACAGGAAAGGAGAUUCUUACUAAAUAUCAGGAAGUACUUUUUGUAAGAGCUGCUUGAUAGUGGGACAGACUCCCUCAGGAGGUGAUGGACUCUCCUUCCUCGGAGGUUUAAUUAAUUAAUUAAUUAAUUAAUUUUAAAAAAUUGGUUUUCAAAAUUAAAAAAAAAUUGGUCCAAAUUAUUUAAAUUUAAUACAAUUUCUUUUAAAAAAUUAGGUUUCCCCUCUCCUGUUGCAAACAUAUGUCCGUUACUUCCUGACGUAGCCGCUUCAUUCUUCUUUAAUCUCCUCUUCAUCCUUCUCUUGAUGUUAAUCCAUUCUCACACGGCUGACCUUUCUAGUUCCCUUACUCAGCACCUCUGUAACUUUUCAAAAAUAUAAAAUCCAUUUCACAUGUGUAGUCUUCAUAAACAUUUUCCCAGACCUGGUGUGUUGAGACAGAUAGAUUGUUUACACAGUUUUGUCUACUUGAAGAAGCCAUGGUCUGAUCAGAAAAUUACAAAUAUUUAGGUUACAAAACAAUAAAAAUAAAGAAAAAUUAAGUUUGCAAAACAAUAAUUACCAUGUGGUUAAGGUAGAUCAACGUGUCAGUGUCCACUUAUCCCCAGUGUAAAUAUGACAUAUCGGAAAUUGAAAGAUAACUCUAGCAUGUACACGAAAAUCGAUUUCAGAUUUGAAAUCAGCAUUGAAAGAACAUAUAAGAACAGUUGAAAAAUCUCAUGCAACAGAAAAUGAAAAAAAGUUUGUUCCCCAGUGUAAUUGCCAUCCUCCUUUGUUCAGUUCUCUUCAAUGUUUACCUUUCUUGGAGGUUUUUAAGCAGACAUUGGAUGGCCAUUUGUCUUGUAUGUUUGAGCUGAGAUUCCUGCAUUGCAGAGGGUUGGGCUAGAUGACCCUCAGGAUCCCUUCCAACACCAUGAAUCUGUAUUAAACAGUACAGAUUCAUUUCCAAAGCUGUGGCAGUAAAACAAUAGAAUAGCUAUAGAACAAUACGACAACAGCAUGUCCGAACAAAAAUACAUCUGUGAAAAGCUCUUUGAAACAGGUGGAUUUUGAGUGCUUCAACUGUUGUAUUCAUAUAAGCCAGUAUCCAAAUAGCCUAGCCUUAUCUAGGAACAGGAAAAAGAAAGAAGCAGUUUCUGAUGAUGAACAGAAUAAUACCGCAGAAGCCUUGGCUUCAUCUGCCGCUUAUUUCCCCAGUCCAGCACUGGGUCAUCAGGUCUGCAGUCGCUGCCUCGUUUUGAUUCCCAGAUCAAAUUGCGGAUGGAAAUGUCCCUGCAAAACGACCGUGAUGCUCCCUUUGUCCUUUGCAUCAGAGAAGCACCAUCCAUUUCUAAACCACAAUGUGGGAGACAGUUCUUGAUUUGGAUACCAUGUCAGGUUGCCCAAACUAGUCACAAUAUCCAGAGAGAGAGAGAGAGAGAGAGAGAUGGAUGGAGAUGCUUUCUAUUGCUUUUUAGAAACUAGGUACAGUACUUUCCAUAAAUCCAGACUGUCACUAUUUGGGAAUGAGACUCAAUCGCAUACAACCCAAUUCAGGUUGCAGCAUUAAAGAUGAUCUGGAGCUCUUGCACAACAAACCUGCCCUCCGCCAGAAUGGGACUCUUUGCAGUUGUAAUGAGCAUUGUGAGUUUUGCAGGAGCUAGGCCCUGGCUGUUCUGACUUUAUCUGAAUCGAGUCGACAGGUACAGUCAGGUGAUGAGAUGCACUACAGCUGGGAGCAAGCCAAGGAGGACUACAUAAGACCUGCAUUUCACACUUCGUCACUAUGGGCCCUACUAAAGCAAACCGUCUAAUUGGUCAGCGUCUAAAAGAUAUCGAGCAUCAGCACAACCUGGCCACUAUAAGGAAAUUCUGACCUUGGUAUGUUCAUUUCCCACCUCCCCAUUUUGAUUCUCUGGCCCCAUAUCUGUACAAACUUAUUUUCUCAAAAUACAGACGGGCUUUUACACUUGCAAGACUGGAUGUUUUGCCAUCUGCGGUACUUGAGGGUCAUUUCCAAAAGAUCCCGCCUGAGAAACGUCUUUGCCCCUGUGGAGAUGGUAGCACCGAAACAGUGGCACACGUCUUCCUGUCUUGCACUCUCUACAGAGACCUGGGGAACGAGAUCAUCGCCCCACUCGUACUAAGCAUCCCAGGGCGCUCAGCCACUGCCACCAUGUCCUUUCUUCUAUCAGAUCAAAAAGAGCAGAUAACAGCAAAGGUUGCUAGGUUCAUAGCUGGGGCAAUCAAAAUAAGGGCCACUAACUGACAGCUGAUUCAGGACUUUAAAUUGUGCUUUUGUAUCAAAUGUCCUUUUCUGCGUAUACUGUAAUGUUUUAUUGUUGCUAUGGCCAUUGGCUAAUGCAAAUAAGGCUUUAUCUUAUCUUCGCCCUUGGUCUUUGCCACAGCAACGCGAUCUUCUGCUGACCUGUAGCUUAUUCCUGUGAUCCUUGCCUGGCUGGACUUCUCACCUGCCUAGACUCCGAUACUCUUCUGGGCCUCCUCUUCCCUCUGACCUUUGUUGGGUUUGUUGUUGCUUCCUGACCAUGGACCCGCCAGUUUGACUGCCUCUUCUCCCGCUUCCCCCAUUGAAGUUGUUGUUUGUGUGAGGCGCAUGAUGCAAACAUGUUGUUACGACAUAAGAGAAAGCAGCUUUGUGCUAGGAAACACGGCGAG